AACUUGUCUCACAUCAUGUGAGGCACAUGGGAUAGCAAGUGCCGUGAUUUGCAACAAAACUUUUUGCAAUUUAUUUUAGCAAGGAAACGUUUCAUUAAUUUAAUGUGUGCUUACUUUUUUUAAUUUAGUAAUUGUUUAAACUCUUCGGAAACAUAAAGUUAGCAGUUUCUAAUUGAAAAUAUUAUCACAAAAAUUAACCAACCUUUGCAAAAAGUCUUGCUUCACUUAACUUCUAAAUAAAUAAAGUUCCACACAAUUAAUAAUGAACCUGUACCGGUUGAUAUCUAAGUUGCAGCCCAAAGUGCAAAUUGUGCUUAUCAUUUUUGGCACAAUUUUAGGCACUCUUGGAAUUCUCGCACUUGUUUGUCUUGGAUUUUUGCUGGUGCAUCUAAUUAUAACCGUGGCAACAAUCGCGGCCUUACUUGUGGGGUGGUAUUACGCGAUGGGGUUUGGCAUCACUGCGUUACGCAUAACUAACAAUCUUACAGCAUCGAGGAUAUCGGUGGAUUGGCAUAAUGACCAGGAUUGGGAUGAGGAUGAAUAUGAGCCAAGACGACGACGACGAAAUUACUUGAUGUACUAAAUACAGACUAUUGAUGCCAAACUGCAGAAUGGAUAAAAUUUUGGCGUUUGUGUAUCCUACAGUUAUUUAAGUAAAUUGGGAAUUUGGAAUGUAUUGUUUGCACUAUGUAUGUAUCAUGUAUGUAUGUACGAUUGUAUUUAAUUUACGGACACCUCUAAAUAUUUAAAAUAAAUAAAUAUUUGUACUUUUAA